rnacentral:lncRNA from 1 species
GAACGUGGAUCCCCGAGGAACCUUACUGAGGGCUGAACUCUGGCCGGGGAGUACAGUUACCCUGGCAAUGACGCUCUCCCGGUGCGAUAGAAGGUGGUAGGCGGGAGGAGACGGGACGGGGCUUCCGGCGGAAGUGACUAGCCUUCCACCGACUGUCAGGGAAGAUGCUGCGUUCAGUGUGGCAGUGGCUUUGCCUCGGACUGUACAGCCUCCUGCUGGGACAGGCGGAGGCCCCGACACCCGUGGAGCCGCCAGAGCGGAGCCGACCGUAUGCGGUGCUGCGUGGGCAGAACCUGGUGUUGAUGGGAACCAUCUUCAGCCUCCUGCUGGUGACCGUGAUCCUCAUGGCAUUCUGUGUCUACAAGCCCAUUCGGCGCCGGUGACAGCCGAGCAAGCAAGUCCUUCCACGAGCAUCUGGGAACGGAAUAAGUUGUGUUGCACGCGGGUCAGUGGAGAAGCUGGAAUCAGAACGUUACUGUUUGGAAAUGGUCUUUGGUCUGGACAGUUGGUAAAUUCUGAACAAUUUAGAGAAAACAUCUAGCCGUUGUCUUAUCCUAAUGCUGGAAGGCAAGCACUGGGCCCUGAGUCUGCUGCUCGGUGUCUCUUCCUAUAUCUGGCUGUGCUUGUUGAGAGUAAGACCUGAAGUUCCGGGGCUCAGCGUAAAGAUGGAGUGCUCACGAGAAAGAAAGCAUAACUUUGUGAGUGGUGAAAAAACCACCCUGGAUAGGAAAGUUUGUUUGAAACUGUUAAGGAAGACUUGACCUGUUGACAUUCCCUACUUAAGAAUCAUUUGGUCACAAUGGGAUAAGAAUAACAAAUGUUUUUAAUUAUCCAGAGGUGGCCUCGAUGCCCCAUUUGCAAAGCAGUGUCCGCCGUGGGGAAUGUAGGCGGUACCCCCCCACCCCACUCCUCACGCUGCAUAGAGCUCUGUGCUCAGAUGCCUCCACUGAAGUCAGGGCAGCUUUCUGAUUCUCAGCAGGCGCUCUUUUCCGCCCUGAGUGGGGAGGGCGCAGGACGCAGCAGAUGUGCGUAUUCACUGUCAAGGCCAAGGGGCAAGUAGGUGUGUGUUUACACAAUUUAAUUUCAACUUUGAAAAUGCUGCUAUUCAUUUGCACUGUUGGUGAACUGGAACAUCCCCCCCUGGAAAUACUUUCAUUCUUAACAGUAUUUAUUUUAAGGGUGCUAGGCUUAUCUGUGUUACUAAAUUAAAACGCUUAUCUUAUUUUGUGCUCCAUUCUAGCACAGCACUGAUUUUUUUUUUUUAAACAACCUGAACUAAAUGUGAAAUAACUGANNNNNNNNACUAUAACUGACCUAACGAUUUUGUGUGUAACCCUGGACUGAGCCACUGACACGUCCACUGUUCUGUGCUUCUGAGCAAAAUGCCCAUUAAAACUAAAGUAAAAUCUUAAGUGAUGUUUUAUCCUAGUCAUUAUUUCACAAGCAUCUAAAAUGCAGGUGUGUGUGUGUGUUGGAAUCUGAUUUAAUCUCUUAAGGAGGCACUGUGAAGUAGAGCUCCAAGCUACUCAGAAAACUGAGCCCUAAGUAAUCUCUCAAGCUGGGUCAGGGGCCAGAGGGCCUGGAUUCCUGUUCCGGCUCCAGUUACAAACAGGCUUGACUUCUCUUAGAGCCUCAGUUUUCUUAUCUAUAAAACAGAGAUAUGCACACUUUAUCUUUCUUUAUUCUACUGAGGAUCAGGUGAUGUGAAAACUAACAGACGGAAUUGGGAUCACCACUGCUGGCCUGUGACUGGAGGGCGGAGUGGUGGGGACUCUGAGCGGCAGGGACAGAGUCAUCACAGGAGCCCACAUCCCCACGUCAUCUGGGAUGCCAUGUUUUGUUAUCUGCCUAAACACUUAUUGCCAUUUUUAGCAUUUUAAAAGGAAACAGUAAAAACUUAUNNNNNNNNNNNNNNNNNNNNNNNNNNNNNNNNNNNNNNNNNNNNNNNNNNNNNNNNNNNNNNNNNNNNNNNNNNNNNNNNNNNNNNNNNNNNNNNNNNNAAACUUAUAAGACUCAUAAACCUUGUGCCCUGCCUUUUGCCCAGUAAUCACCAGCCAGGUAAACCAAUCAUAUUUGGUUUUCUGAAACAAACUGGCCAUAGUCAUUCUAUGGAAAACCCAGCCUGCAUCUUCAUCCCAAUGUUACCAUCUGUUCAGUAUGAGAAAGUAGUAAAGGUGAAAGAAAAUAUCAAUUCUGGAAGCAAGAGAGAAAUAAACUGAAAACUUUUAUGCCCAGCUGCUGUUUUCAAGUGGAAUUAUUCUCCUGGCCUUCUGCUUCAGGGGUGCAGGGGGCAGGGGUCAAACCCUAGGUUCCCUAAGCUGAACUGUACUCAGGUUAUUUGCCACGCCCCCCCCAGCAAACACAUUAUACUAACAUACACAAAAAUGGGUUAUUUUAGAAAAUACUGAUCUUAACAUCCUCUAAAGUUGAGACUAAGAAGUUUGCAGGUUGUUGCUUGGAUUAUAGGGGCUUGGAGUCUUAUUAGUUGAUUACACAUUUUUCCCUUGCAGGAU